CAUCUUUUCUUGUUAGUUUUUGAAGUAUGGCCUGCCCACUGACUUAGAGUUGAAGGGCCGCGGUAUUUUGACCGUGCAAAGGUAGCAUAAUCAUUAGUUCUUUAAUUGUGAUCUGGUAUGAAUGGCUUGACGAGACAUAAGCUGUCUUAGAAGUAUUGAUUUAUUGAAUUUGGUUUUUGAGUUAAAAUUCUUAAAUGUUUUUAUGGGACGAGAAGACCCUAUAGAGUUUGACAAUUUUCCUAUUUAUUCGUUGUUUGUUUUAUUUACAUUGAGUGGGAGUGAAUUGUUUUGUUGGGGUGAUGGGAGGAAUAUUGUUAACUCCUCUUUAUUUUUAUAUAUUUAUGUAUAUAUUUUUGAUCCAUUUAUUUUGAUUAUAAGAUUAAAUUACCUUA
rnacentral:rRNA from 1 species